GUUCUACUAGAAGAAACCAAAGAAGCAAAAGUAAACAGCUUAAAUAACCAUAAAUUAGAAGUUAACGUAACUCUAAUUGUGAAUCGUCUAAGAAACCAAAGAGUGAUUGUUCUAGGUGCAAAAGGUACUACAGAAUGAUAAUAAGAUUCAUUAAAUGGUGGCGUGUCUACCUAAAAGGAACAAGGUAAAUACCAGCGAGAAAAUUCGGCGAGGGAAGAAGCGGUUCAGAUAAUGUUUCAAGUCAUGAAGGGUUGGCACAUUGGCUUCUAAUGGUGAAUAUGCAUGGAAGAGGGUUAGAGGUAGGUUUGGAUGAUGAAGAAAAUAGAGGUCAAUGUGAAAUUUGUAAUAUGGUUUAGCAUUAGUCUCUACUGAAGCUUGAAGAUGGGCAAGGGGCUUGAAGAUUAAUACUCGAACAAACUAGCUUCAAAACUUGAUAGUAUUAGGUUCUAAUUCUAUUUUUUUUACUGUCUAGUCUAUUAGAAGUAAUUCAUAUUUAUUAAUUAUAUUAUUUUCUUAGUCCCUAAGUUUGUUAGAGGGUAUUUCAGUAUUUUAUCCUAUUCUAGUAACCCUAGUUUUAGCUUAUAAAUAGGGUGACAAUCAUUGUAACUUUUAUCAUGUUUUGUAGCCGUCAUUCUCUUAAUAGAAUAUUCAUCUUUCAUUCUA